GUCUAAGGCCAUAUCACCCUGAUGUGCCCAAUCUCUUCUGGUCUAGAAAGCUAAGCAGGGUCAGUUUAGUACUUGGAUGGGAGACAGAUCUCAGAAGAGAUUGUUCAGAGACA
rnacentral:rRNA from 1 species